AACGAACGCUGGCGGCAGGCUUAACACAUGCAAGUCGAACGCCCCGCAAGGGGAGUGGCAGACGGGUGAGUAACGCGUGGGAACGUGCCCUUCGCUUCGGAAUAGCCCCGGGAAACUGGGAGUAAUACCGAAUACGCCGUAUUGGGAAAGAUUUAUCGGCGAAGGAUCGGCCCGCGUUAGAUUAGCUAGUUGGCGGUGUAAUGGACCACCAAGGCUACGAUCUAUAGCUGGUCUGAGAGGAUGAUCAGCCACACUGGGACUGAGACACGGCCCAGACUCCUACGGGAGGCAGCAGUGGGGAAUAUUGGACAAUGGGCGCAAGCCUGAUCCAGCAAUGCCGCGUGAGUGAUGAAGGCCUUAGGGUUGUAAAGCUCUUUCGCACGCGACGAUGAUGACGGUAGCGUGAGAAGAAGCCCCGGCUAACUUCGUGCCAGCAGCCGCGGUAACAC
rnacentral:rRNA from 1 species